rnacentral:rRNA from 1 species
AUGAACGCUGGCGGCGUGCCUAAUACAUGCAAGUCGAGCGAACGGACGAGAAGCUUGCUUCUCUGAUGUUAGCGGCGGACGGGUGAGUAACACGUGGAUAACCUACCUAUAAGACUGGGAUAACUUCGGGAAACCGUAGCUAAUACUGGAUAAUAUUUUGAACCGCAUGGUUCAAAAGUGAAAGACGGUCUUGCUGUCACUUAUAGAUGGAUCCGCGCUGCAUUAGCUAGUUGGUAAGGUAACGGCUUACCAAGGCAACGAUGCAUAGCCGACCUGAGAGGGUGAUCGGCCACACUGGAACUGAGACACGGUCCAGACUCCUACGGGAGGCAGCAGUAGGGAAUCUUCCGCAAUGGGCGAAAGCCUGACGGAGCAACGCCGCGUGAGUGAUGAAGGUCUUCGGAUCGUAAAACUCUGUUAUUAGGGAAGAACAUAUGUGUAAGUAACUGUGCACAUCUUGACGGUACCUAAUCAGAAAGCCACGGCUAACUACGUG